GAAAUGCGAUAAGUAAUGUGAAUUGCAGAAUUCAGUGAAUCAUCGAAUCUUUGAACGCACAUUGCGCCCGUCAGCAUUCUGGCGGGCAUGCCUGUUCGAGCGUCAUUUCAACCCUCAGGACCCCCCUUUCGCGGGGAGGGACCUGGCGUUGGGGAUCGGCCCGCCCCCCGCGGCGGCGCCGUCCCCGAAAUCUAGUGGCGGUCUCGCUGCAGCCUCCCCUGCGUAGUAGUUACAACCUCGCAUCGGAGCGCGGCGCGGUCACGCCGUAAAACCCCCGACUUUCUGAACGUUGACCUCGGAUCAGGUAGGAAUACCCGCUGAACUUAAGC
rnacentral:misc_RNA from 1 species